ACGGGCUCAUAUUGAACCUAGUGAUGUAUGAGUUAGUGGCGGACGGGUGAGUAACGCGUGGAGAACCUGCCGUAUACUGGGGGAUAACACUUAGAAAUAGGUGCUAAUACCGCAUAAGCGCACAGCUUCGCAUGAAGCAGUGUGAAAAACUCCGGUGGUAUACGAUGGAUCCGCGUCUGAUUAGCUGGUUGGCGGGGUAACAGCCCACCAAGGCGACGAUCAGUAGCCGGCCUGAGAGGGUGAACGGCCACAUUGGGACUGAGACACGGCCCAAACUCCUACGGGAGGCAGCAGUGGGGAAUAUUGCACAAUGGGGGAAACCCUGAUGCAGCGACGCCGCGUGAGUGAAGAAGUAUUUCGGUAUGUAAAGCUCUAUCAGCAGGGAAGAAAUACUGACCUUACGGUCAGCAGACGGUACCUGACUAAGAAGCCCCGGCUAACUACGUGCCAGCAGCCGCGGUAAUACGUAGGGGGCAAGCGUUAUCCGGAUUUACUGGGUGUAAAGGGAGCGUAGACGGCAGCGCAAGUCUGAAGUGAAAUCCCAUGGCUUAACCAUGGAACUGCUUUGGAAACUGUGCAGCUGGAGUGCAGGAGAGGUAAGCGGAAUUCCUAGUGUAGCGGUGAAAUGCGUAGAUAUUAGGAGGAACACCAGUGGCGAAGGCGGCUUACUGGACUGUAACUGACGUUGAGGCUCGAAAGCGUGGGGAGCAAACAGGAUUAGAUACCCUGGUAGUCCACGNCCGUAACGAUGAUUACUAGGNGUUGGGGGACCAAGGUCCUUCGGUGCCGGCGCAAACGCAUUAAGUAAUCCACCUGGGGAGUACGUUCGCAA
rnacentral:rRNA from 1 species